GUUUCUUCAAGUUGAAACUCAAAUAUCCCCUUUUAAUUGGAAGCCAUUAUUUGGUUUUAUCACCAGAAACAACAUUUGCUGCUGAUGCAGGAGCUAGAGGAAGGAAAAUUUUCUUUACCUACUGCUGCUGCCAGCAUCCCUGAGGAACAAAACUGACGGUGGGAACUAUGGCAUAGGGAGCUGGUCAGGAUUCACCUCUCCCUGACAGCACCACGUCCUGCUCAGCACAGGUGGAAAUGCUCUGGAUGGAGUAGGAACAGUGAGGGACAGUGAGAGGCAGUGAGGGGCAACCCUGUUGCAGCUGCAGCAUUGGGGCAGAGGCACCAAUGCUGCUCCAGAACACCCCAACAUGAUUUGCAUGAGGUCUAGCAUUCCUGAAAAACAAAGAAAAGAUAAAGAUUUGUGAGGAACCAAUUACCCAAGGCAGCACAACUAGCUGUGACAGCUGAAUUCAAUGCAUGAGCUACCCUUAGAAAGCACCGCUUGAUCUUCUGAUAGAAAGUGCUACAGUUAAAUAGAGAGGCCAGAGCCUGUAGAUUAAAAUGGGGAAAAAUGAUGAAGAUAAUUCAUAUGGAACAUGGCUUUUGCGGAUAAAAGCUUCCCAACAGAAGAGAGGAAGAUCAUUACUGUAUAUUUAUAUGGA